CUCUUGCAGCUCAGGCGGGGCGGAGGAUGUGUCCCGGGGGCUUGAGAGGAGUAGUCAGUAUUAAGUGGAUGGCCCACAGUAGGUGCCUGUAGGCGAGCUUAGGGCAGGAAGUACCCGCUGGGAAGGGAGACUAGUGGAAUGGGAAAAGAAAAAAGGAAAAUGGAAUUAGGGGCCAGACUCUGAGGCAAGGUGAUGGGGACACAUAGAGAAAAGGGUAAUCUGGUUGUGGGGAGAAAUUAGGGCAUGAGAGUGGGAGAGGUUGAAAUGACUUGUGGACCAUGCCCCGAGUGGGGAGGUGCAGUGGGGUGAGGAAGAGACGGGGAGGUGAGAAGGAAGAUGGCUGAAUGGGAAGGGAGAAGAAGGAAAUUUGAGACCAAGGUAUCCCAGACCAGAGUGGUUUUCCUCUUCUAGUUUUGUUUUUGUUUUGUUUUGUUUUGUUUGAGACGGAGACUAGCUCUGUUGCUCAGGUUGGAGUGCAGUGGCGCGAUCUCGGCUCACUGCAACCUCCACCUCCCGGGUUCAAGCAAUUCUCUGCCUCAGCCUCCCGGGUAGCUGGGAAUACAGGCGCCCGCCACCACGCCUGGCUAAGUUUUGUAUUUUUAGUAGAGACGGGGUUUCACCAUGUUGGCCAGGCUAGUCUCAAACUCCUGAUCUCAAGUGAUCCACCUGCCUCGGCCUCCCAAAGUGCUGGGAUUAUAGGCGUGAGCCACCGCGCCCACCACCUCUUCUAGUUUUAAACCCCUUCCCUCCAGCCUCAUUUAUUUAAGCAAGGGUCAGAGAGUUUUACUCCCUUUGCUCAUGGUUUCCCCUGCCAUGGUGCACUGGAGUUCAUAGGAGCCAGUGUCCUAGUAGAUGGCAAGGCUGCCAAUGUCCUGUCUCUCCAGGGUCUCCCCCAUCUUUGUCAAGCUUCCCUUUUUCCACAUUUUGCCCAUGCUAGAUAGUAGGAGUCUAGCCCCUAGGUCAAUGCAAGCAAUUGCCAACUGAGAGUACACGGAGCAGGUGCUGUGCAUAGCCUUUCCAGGCUAUGGAUGCAAGGCUGAAAAAUGGGAAACCCACUCGUGCCCAGUCCAAUUCUGAGCUGGCUGGGGCAGCCUUGGGUCGAGACCUCUCUGUAGCCCUGCUUUCCACCAGCAUCAGGAAGGGGAACUGCAAGAGCCAUCUAGGCAGGCACCCAGGACUGUGCCAGGGAAGACCUGGGUUUUAGUUCUGUCUCCAUCAACCUCAAGAUAUGGGACCUCAUGGAAGGGAGGGGAGGCCAAUGCCGAGGACAUGCUCCUGAGCAGGUGCCACAAUUCUUCACCUGUAAGGGUUUUGGAUGGAUACAUCAAGAGCAUGGUAUACACCAGGCUGAUCUAAGAAGAUUCCUCAUUAUCAACUGGGAGCAGAGAUAUUCCACUUCCAAUUACAUGGCCCUGCCUGCUCACUCUUACUUCCUAUUCACUCUCUCGGAGGCCACUUUGUGAUUCUACCAAAUCCUAUAGGAGAGGUGACAACCCCAAAGAGAAGGCUCUAGAAAGAUGACAUUUGGAAAUGUGUAUGCUAGUGUCUGCUGGCUCCUCUUGGGCCACUUUUACUCUGUGAUUGAGAUGAAAGGCCAUCUAACUGCCUAAAUCACCACAAAGGGACAAACUGGUAUCUCAGAGCACUCAGCAACAAAAACAAGCAAGCUAAGCCUCUGCACUGCAAUGUGGCAGGGCUUCUGGCUAGGUAUAGCAAGCAAUUCUGAUGUGGAGACAAACAGCAGCAAUGGGAAUGAUAUGCCAAUGAAGGAUUCCAACAGUUGGGUCUGCAAGCAUGCUUGUCCUGUGACACAAACAGCCUAGACAUCUCAGCACUGCUUGGAGCUGCUCAUUGGGGGAGCCUAAGAAACAUCAGCCCUUUCACAACCCCUUGCUCCUGAGCAGAGCUCAUCUCCCAAGAGCACAUCAGCCCGCAGCUCACUCUGACGAGAAGCACAGUAUUCCCGUGCCAGUGGCAGCCUCAGAGCAUCCGGAAAGAGCGCUUCCUAGACACGCAGUGGAAGCCAUGACUUCCCCUAAUCUGCUAGUGCUGCCUCUGAACUCAUGUGGAGGUUCUUUUUCCAGUGUCCCCAGAGGCAGCAGAAAAACCCGUUUUCCAUUUUGGAAUCUAUCAAGUAGGACAAAUCCGCCACCUGGGAGCAUCUCCUCAAGGGCAAUCUCUACUCCCUUUUCUACAUAGCCUGACAAUACCCUCAAGUUAGAAAUGUCCAUGUUGGCUAGGCACAGUGGCUCAUGCCUGUAAUCCCAGCACUUUGGGAGGCUGAGGUGGGAGGAUUGCUUGAGGCCAGGAGUUUGAAACCAGCCUGGCAUUGAGAGACUAUGCCUCUAUUAUUUAAAAAAAAAGAAAUGUCUCAUAUUUUUACCCUCUUCACUCAUCUUUCCACCUUGCUCCAAUAGAUUGCUGACAGAAAAGUGAGACCUCCUCCACCCCAAGGUCUCCUAAAAGAAUGCUGCUAGCCAAAAAAAGAUCUGCUGAUAAUUGAGGAAGAGCAUCUUUAAAAAGACACUCAACUACAUUUCAGGAACAUAAAAAUCUAAGAGUUGGCUAUAUGAGGGAAGAAAUUAAGAGAAAGAACUUUUUUUUCCUCCUACAACAGGUCUAGAUAACGUCAUACAAGGAGUUGCACGCAUAUCCAAAACAAAAGCAAGGCAAAAACAAGCAAAAAAGCAACAAAUGUAUUCCAAAAUGAUGUCCAUUUCUCAGCCCAGAAAUGUACUGGAUACUGGUUUAGUUCAGCCUGUAGGGGCUGGGAAGAAAUUCACAAAUCCAAGUCAGUUGCAAAAAGGGAAAACUCCAGACAUAUCACCCAAUGAACUUGUAAGAAAGUAUAUGAGCUUCCCUGAACAGAUUUUACCCCAGGUUUGCAGCCCACAAGGUUUAAGAUCGGGCCAUGAGGUUAAAUCUUGUAAACUCAGAAGUGUUCAUGCUACUGCAUCCCUAAACUUUGUAAUUCUCUACAUACCCUUUAAAGCAGUGUUUCUCUGCAUCUUUCAUUCCGUAGCCAUUGUCCACCUGAUCCAAAAUAUCCUAAAUUUUUCAGUGUUUGGAAGCAGGGUUUCCAAUUUUUGUGUAUACAGAAAAGGGGGGGUGUGUGAAAAAAUAAGUAUUAGAAAAAGAACAUGUUACAUAUCUAUCACAGAAAUGAGUGGGCAAGGUUUAGAAGAUGGCUGAAACAAAGCCAAUACUAAGGUCUACUGGUUGGCUGCAACAAGUUUAAAAUGUCUUCAUAAGGGCCCUGGUUGGGCAAUACUAUACUUGCUGACAGUACACUUGGGAACUGCCACAGACCUAUAGCAAAAGACUGUUCAACUUCUCCAAAAAGCUGGUAUUAACCACCAGAAGAAAUAAGUUCAAGGCCAAAAUAUCCAAAUGAACCAACCACUCUACUUGCUGAAAUGCCAUAAAGCUUCUUUACCCCAGACAUUUGCCCAAAUCUCAUAAUUUCUUUUCUCCUCUCUGACAGGCCUCCAGAGGCCCAAACUUUAAUAGAAUCUGAGAGAAAAAAGUGGCCAGUCUAUCUGCUGUCCAGAGUGAUGCCAAACUCUUUCUCCCGGAGCCAGUUCUCCCCGUUGCGCAGUCAGGUGAGGAUCCGAUUAUUAACAAACUCUACUUGGGUCUCCUUGGCAAAGAGUUUCUGGCUUCAGCAGCCUAGCUCAGGGGGGUUCAUAAUUAUGUCAGACUCCCUUUUUUCUUGUAGUUGCUUUUAACCAAAGAGGUUAAGCCUCUGUACAACCAAGAGGAAGAACUAGAAUUAGAAAACUUACCAAUCGUCCCAGCCAAUGAUAAUCCAUUUCCAACAGGUAUUAACGCCUGUUAGAAGCCAUUGGAACAUUGACAUCAUCAGCCCAAUUGAUAGGUUGUCUGAUAGAUUCGCCCCCUUCAUCGCACACAAGAAUUUAAAACAAAACAAGACACUGCAGUUAUAUUCAUUAUUGCAGACAAUGGGUUUCUUUGUGUUUGUAAUUGAAAUUACUGCUGUGGUCUGGACUCCACCAUUAUUCCCUUCGCAGCCUGUGAGCUAACCAACACUCUAAACUUUCUAGCCCUAAAAAUUGCAUCAUCCAGAAUACCAACUCAAUACAGCCCUCCACUGUGAAACUGAAUGCCUUCUGGGGUGCAGCAUGAAACAGUUUUAGACAGUGCAUGCCAGUGCACCUUGAAACAGUGUCCAUCUGUAAUGAAAUCUGUAAACGGGAAACUUGGGCCAAUUCAUUGUUUAAAGCAGAUCUACUGGCUCAUACCUUUCUCUAGAAACAAUAAGUGAACAAGAAGUAACCUCAGAAGAAGAAAGAACUUUGGGAGAACGCACUGAGAAAGGCCAGACUGAGUCCCCUUGGAUGAAAUUAAUUAAGAAACAAACAUGACAGGAUAUUGCAAUCAAAACCAAGGAAUGCAGUGAGGACAGGUUUCUCAGUUGCCCAGGUUUCUCAGAGGAGAAAACAUAGUUCCUUUUGAACUAAAAUUAGAAAGCCGCUGGGAAGGAAACAUAGGAAGCAUGGGUAAGAGACUGAAAACCGUAAGUCAGCAAUGGGGAUGGAGGUGGGUGGAGGAGGAGAGCAAGUAUCUAUUUUGUUUUAUUUCUUCUGUAAUUCCUUAAGAUUGUUUGCGCCUGAGCUUUGGGACUGCAGUAGUCUCCCCCACGGGGCGUCAGGUAACAGGCUGGGAGCUCUGGCAAGAAGUUCUCAAACUUCUCACAAUUCUGCUAAGAGCUUGCAGAUAUCUGGCUGGAAGAUCAAGGACCCAAGUGAAAAUAUUAAAGGAAGGUUUUUGCCUACUCCCCAGUGAGAGGUCAUCUGCCCAGGGAGUGCCCUCGUGUCCUGACACCAUCGCCCGACUGGGAUACAUCAGUAACCGUGCUGUCGUCGAUGCCGAGCAGUGCCCAUCUGGUUGGCAGCGUCCGGAUCUCAAGCGUUCCCUCGCCCCUCUCUGUACUCCGGGGAGCCCUGAAUCGCUGGUGGGCAUCUACUGUUAAAGAGUGCAGGAAGGCCUCUCAGACACGGGGCGAACACGAGGGCUGUUGGCUGCCUCUUCGGAGUCGACCCAGGCAUAGUCCGCCCAGGCGGGAGAGCGGCGCUGAGGUGGGUCGGCACUCGUCUGAGGGGUGCCAGGCCACCCCGGUGCCCGCUCCUCUCACCGGCCCCCGGAAGCGCCGCCCUCCCGCCCGGCGGGCUCCGAGGGGGCGGGGAGUCGAACGCCCCCUUCCGGGUGCCUCCGCCCGGCUGGCCAGCCCCGCUCCUCCUCCGGGCGGGAAUCCUCCCUCCCCCGCCCCUCCUGAAGCCGGGCCCCGGCGCCAGGCCCGGCCCCAGGGGGGAACCCCCGGCCUCGGCUCCCUCUCCCCGCGGCCUCUGCCCGUCUUCCCGACCCUUGGGGGCCGGGAAGACCCCGCCGGCAGCGGCCGGGACCCACCGCUCAUUACGACAUCUUCCUCCCUGGCCUCCGCCGCCUCCGCCGCCACCGAGAGCCUGACACCGCCCGCCAAGCACCCGCCAAUCCCGGAGCCCGCCACCGCCCGAGCGACGGCAGCCUUCACCAAUAAGUGCUUGGAACAUUGGGGACCGACAGCACUAUUAGCCAAUCAACCAGAGGCGUCUAGAGCGACGUUGAUUUGACCAAUAGGAUUGUCCUCAUCUAAUCCGUCAGUACCAGACAGUGAACAUCUCUCCCCCAGGAUGUUGAGAUGUGGAACUACAGCCUCUGCUCUCAAGAAGCUCAGAUCUGGGCAGGGAACAUCAUACACCAGGGCUGUCGGGGGGUGGAGGGCUGGGGGACGGAUAGGAUUAGGAGAAAUAUCUAAUGUAAAUGACAAGUUGAUGGGUGCAGCAAACCAACAUGGCACAUGUAUACCUAUGUAACAAACCUGCACGUUGUGCACAUAUACCCUAGAACUUAAAGUAUAAUUAAAAAAAAAAAAAAAGCUUCAGAUCCCUCCUGUAGCCUCCUAUGAAACUUAGAGUAUAAUUAAAAAAAAAAAAAAAAAAAAAAAGCUUCAGAUCCCUCCUGGAGCCUCCUAUGAAACCACAUGGCAUAGCUGGUGCUGUUGGUCCAGAAACUAGAAGAAUAUCAGGCCAGCCCCCUUGACUCUCUGUUGGUCCUCACUCAUAGCUACAACCCAAGCUGUAUUGUUGGUGUUUAUCUUUUGAAGAGUUACAGCCGACCCAGCCUUCUAAAGACUGCUUGUUUUGCCUUAAGGAUUUCCCAGUAACCUCUGCUUCUCCCUUUUCCCUCCUAUGGUUUUCUAUUUUCUCAUCUCUUCCCUUUCUACCUAUGGGGAAAUCAAAAUUGUAGACUUUUUU